GGCUGAAAUGCAGUGGUAGUGUGAUCAUAGCUCACUGUAACCUUAAAUUCCUGGGCUCCAGCAAUCCUUCUGCUUCAGCUGCAUAGCUGGGAAUGCCGGCAUGUACCACUAUGCCCAGAUUAUUUUUAUAGAGACAGGGUCUCGCUAUGUUGCCCAUAGAACUCUUCUCAAGUGAAUGGACUUUAUUUGGAAUGAAGCGUGAGGAAAUUAAAGACUAAGGAUGCUCUUGAAAACAAUGGAGAUUGUGGGGAUAAGCAUUUACAAGGAAUCUGGUAGCCUCAUGAGAUAAACAAAUUACCAGCUAGUUCACCAGAGAGAACCAGGGAAAGAGACAGCUAAGAAGACAGUUAAAGACUGGCCUCAGGGGCCAGGCGUGGUGGUGCAUAUCUGUAAUCCCGGCCUUUUGUGAGGCUGAGGUGGGUGGAUUGCUUGAACUCAGGAGUUUGAGACCAGCCGGGGC
rnacentral:lncRNA from 1 species